rnacentral:lncRNA from 1 species
GAAAAUGGUUGAUUUGCACAUAAAAUAAUCUACAAAGGACCAAUGCGCGAAAUGCACCAGCGUGUAGGGACCAGAACUGAGAAUAAACCCAGCUCUAAAAAACAGCGCAGAGGCAUGGACCAAUGUGAAUUCUUGCGUAAACUAUGGGAAAAAAUUAAAAAAAAAGGAAACACACACGCAAGCUGAUUUGGACCGGACCCAAAUGGGGAGGGAUCGAAGUGGCAAAUAACCCUCACCGCUAAAACACGCGGGUCAUCGGGGCAGCAAGCCGGAUUUGGUUUGGGCUCCACCAAACGACGUCGUUUUUGAGCCAUUGAAUUGUGCUUGAAACGACGUCGCAUUUGGCCCUUUAAAAAGGCUAAAAACUGGGUCAUUCGGCCAAACCCUAGCCCCUUCCCCUCUUUCAUUGCUUAAUCGACCCCCAAGUGCUCUUCUCAGCACUAAUGCGCCACCACGAGCGACGGUCUGCGCGCUCGAGCCCUAAAGGAGGGGUUUUCAUCUUUGAAACCCCCAUUCAGACUUCGAUUUCGACGAAGUGAAGGGCGAACGACAGCUAGUUUCGCAAGGUAAACCUCUCUUUCGCUUUCUUUUUUUGUUUUUGAGAUAGAUUUCAAAAUAAAAAGAAAAUAGAGGCGUAAAAAUGAAAACAGGUAACAACCUUUGCAGAAUAUUCAACUUCUUUGUAUUUGAUUCCUUUUUUUGUGUGUAAUAUGUUCGUAGUCUCCUCUUACAAUCGAAAACCAAAGGCUUUAUAGCGGAAUAACUAAAGAAAACAACAAUUUUUGUCCUCUGCUUUUGUAUUGGCUUAUUGCUGCUUUUGUUUGUUUUCUUUUGCAGGUACGGAGCACGGGGCUGUACGUUGGCGCUCGGGUACGGGUCUAGGCUGGAGUACGGAGACGCGUGUGCAUGGCUGCUGGAGGGUACGGAGGCCAGGGCCAAGGUUUGGCUGCGGCGCGAGAGAGAGAACCCUAGGUUUCUGUUUGUUCUAAAAAAAUUUUGGGCCAUUUGGGCCGGUGUACUUUUGGGGUUGGGUCUAGGUUUAAUAUUAAUUUGGGCUUGGUUUUUUUUGUAAUUGGACUGUAAUGGACUGUGGUUUUUUUAUUUGUUUAUUUUAUUUUAUAUUUUCUUUUGGUUUUCUUGUGUUUGCCUGGGUCAGGCAAAUUUGGCCCAUUACAAAUUUAAUCAAAUAUUUUAGCUGAAAUAUUUUUGUGCUUGCUUAACCCAACUGGAAGGAAUGUAGUCCUUUAUUGAGUAGUUGUACUCAAUCAUUACUUUAAUAAUUUACAUGUUCAGAUUUGGUCAUGAAUGUGGGAUGUCCAGACAGUGAUGUUUUUAAACUUUAAUUCAAUGUUGUAAAUGUUGAAGAUGUUAUGAUUUCAUAUAUUCUUUAAGUUAAUAGAUUCCUAGACUAUACAAAUUAUAAUUGUUGAUGAAUAAUUGUAUUAUAAAGUUUUAAUAUUGUC